rnacentral:rRNA from 1 species
AUUGAACGCUGGCGGCAGGCCUAACACAUGCAAGUCGAGCGGGGCGGCAGACGGGUAAGUAAGGCCUAGGAAUCUGCCUGGGAGUGGGGGAUAACGUCCGGAAACGGGCGCUGAUACCGCAUCCUAUCAGAUGAGCAUAGGUCGGAUUAGCUAGUUGGUGGGGUAAAGGCCUACCAAGGCGACGAUCCGUAACUGGUCUGAGAGGAUGAUCAGUCACACUGGAACUGAGACACGGUCCAGACUCCUACGGGAGGCAGCAGUGGGGAAUAUUGGACAAUGGGCGAAAGCCUGAUCCAGCCAUGCCGCGUGUGUGAAGAAGGUCUUCGGAUUGUAAAGCACUUUCAGUUGGGAGGCGUUACCAACAGAAUAAGCACCGGCUAACUUCGUGCCAGCAGCCGCGGUAAUAC